ACUCCCCUAUGGACAACUCCAAAACCACCUCCACCAAUUCUGUUUGAUGGAUGGAAAUUUCCUGUUGCUGAUGUCAACGUAUUAUAAGAGAAGAUCCUCACAUUACUGGUGGCAAUCUCUUCUGGCUGUUGUUGGCUGUGACUUUCUUUCCCUUUGAAGCAAUUUGAAACACCGAAGCAGUUAAAGCUCAUUCUAAUCCAAUUCAAGGUUCCUGAUCUACUCAGCAAAACCCGUAAAGCAUAUCUCUUCUUCA
rnacentral:misc_RNA from 1 species